UCUAGAGUCACUCCUACGGGAGGCAGCAGUGGGGAAUCUUGCGCAAUGGUCGAAAGACUGACGCAGCGACGCCGCGUGGGUGAUGAAGGCCUUCGGGUCGUAAAGCCCUGUCGAGGGGGAAGAAUCGGUUGCGACCUAACACGUCGUGAUCCUGACGGUACCCCUAAAGGAAGCACCGGCUAACUCCGUGCCAGCAGCCGCGGUAAUACGUAGGGGGCAAGCGUUGUCCGGAUUUAUUGGGCGUAAAGAGCGUGUAGGCGGCCAGGUAGGUCAGCUGUGAAAACUCGAGGCUCAACCUCGAGACGCCGGUUGAAACCAUCUGGCUAGAGUCCGGAAGAGGAGAGUGGAAUUCCUGGUGUAGCGGUGAAAUGCGCAGAUAUCAGGAAGAACACCCGUGGCUAAGGCGGCUCUCUAGUACGGUACUGACGCUGAGACGCGAAAGCGUGGGGAGCAAACAGGAUUAGAUACCCUGGUAGUCCACGCCGUAAACGAUGUGCGCUGGAUGUUGGGCGGCCUAGCCGUUCAGUGUCGUAGCCAACGCGAUAAGCGCACCGCCUGGGGAGUACGGCCGCAAGGUUAAAACUCAAAGGAAUUGACG
rnacentral:rRNA from 1 species